AAAUAUUAAGCAUAAUUAUUAUUUACAAGGAGUUAUCUUAAUAAAAUUUAAUAAAAAAUAAUCAUGUAAUUAAGCAUGUGUAUACCAACGCGAAUAGCCAUCCUGUAAUUUGAAUAUUAUGUUAUCCUGUAUGUAGAAACGGGCGCUUGUUUUGAUUGAGAUUGACAGAGUGACGAGACGCCAUGAUGCUUAUGCGAUUUGCUUAUUCUGUACAUACUUCUAUUUUUCUUUCAAAUAUUCGAACUUGUUUAUUGUAUUCAGAUUCAGACCACAUUCGAAGGAGUCUGUGAAUACUUAAGGGCGUAUUGACCUUGAGUCUGUUGUGGUAAGGGCCGCCAAACACGGACUGCUUUGAGCAGUCAGUGCCAACAGCUUCAAGCGGUCGCCGUUGGGUGAUCUGCAGUUUCAAUACAAAAUCGUCAUUCGUAAUACACGAACCACCCGAAGCAGUUGCAACUGCUUCGGGCGGUUGGCUGCGCGGUGAAAUUUCAUUAUGCCGUCAAGCUGCAAAAGCAGUCCGUGUAUGUUGAUCACUGGGUUACUGCUCGAGCAGUCCGUGUAUGGCGGCUCUAAGCAAAAGCUUGUUAGAAAAAAUUCGUAGGCAGCCUUCCGAGUCGCCUUAAAGGUUGUCAAUCUUUGUAAAUAAUGAAGAACUGAGCUUUUACGGAGUUAGCGUGAAUGGUGAUUUGAUGAAUGGUAAUUCGAAAUGUGGCAAUAGUAACAUUUUAUAUAACAGCCAAAUGCGUCGUCCCUCCAGUACCUUAUAAGAAAACGUAGGUUUGCAUUUAUAUAAUCAAUGCAUAACACACUGUAGUAACAACAACACUUAAGUAAGGACGCUAACCACGAAGGAUUUCGAACACCGAACCGCCUGUCCCUAUCUCUAUCGCACGCGCAUAAUUAUAUUGCCGUCCCGCUCGUAGUGUCAUUGACCGCCGGUAUCAUGGGUAGGACAUCAAUAUGUAUAAUUACGCGCGUGCGAUAGAGAUAGGAACAGGCGGGUUCGUACGAAAUUCUUCUUAACGCCCUUCCUUGACAAACCAUUGGUAGACCUUGUUGCAUUGUGAUACGAGUUACGAAUGGUCAGUAAGGCCGACAACAUUAGCCUUAUAUUUUAGUACAGUGUGAUAUGCUCGUUUUUAUUCCCAUAAAUAUGUAUUUAUUUUCAGUCUCAAGUAGAGAUGUUUCCUUUGUGCGUAUUUUUUUUUAUUCAGAGCUUUAGGUAUGUUUUUGACGUAUUUGGAAUAUUUGACGUAGCCCUAGUGUGAAAAAUAAUAGUAUAUACGCGUUGAUUGCACAGCGUGUCAAAAUAAACAAAUUAAAUGCAACAACA